rnacentral:rRNA from 1 species
AACGAACGCUGGCGGCAUGCCUAACACAUGCAAGUCGAACGAGAAAGCCCUUCGGGGUGAGUAGAGUGGCGCACGGGUGAGUAAUGCAUAGGAACGUACCCUUGGGUUGGGGAUAACUACGGGAAACCGUGGCUAAUACCGAAUGGCCUCGCAAGAGUAAAGGUGGCGCAAGCUACCGCCAAAGGAUCGGCCUAUGUCCCAUUAGCUAGUUGGCGGGGUAAUGGCCCACCAAGGCGACGAUGGGUAGCUGGUCUGAGAGGAUGAUCAGCCACACUGGGACUGAGACACGGCCCAG